GACGUAGGAGGCGAGCGUUGUCCGGAUUCAUUGGGCGUAAAGAGCGCGCAGGCGGCUUGGUAAGUCGGAUGUGAAAUCCCGAGGCUCAACCUCGGGUCUGCAUCCGAUACUGCCCGGCUAGAGGUAGGUAGGGGAGAUCGGAAUUCCUGGUGUAGCGGUGAAAUGCGCAGAUAUCAGGAGGAACACCGGUGGCGAAGGCGGAUCUCUGGGCCGUACCUGACGCUCAGGCGCGAAAGCUAGGGGAGCGAACUGG
rnacentral:rRNA from 1 species